UUAACUAGUAAUCGAGAAUAAGUAAUUAGGAGUGAAGGAAUGUUCUUUGUUGAUAACGUUCUUAAAUAAGGCCCUGUUCGUUUGAUCAGUUUGAUGGAUCAUCUGGAUGGAGAUGAGUUUUGAUGUUUGUUUGGUGCCAAAAACGGGAGUUUGAAAAUUUAGCCUAAAUUUUCAAAUUCAUUUGGCUGAACUAAAUUGGAUCAUUUGGAUGGAAAUGAUUCAGUCAAAAAUAACAAAUGACAAAAAUAUCCUAAUUAUUUCAAUUGAUUAUUUAGAUGUAUUUUUAGAUACAAAAACAAAUAGACUAAAUCUUCUUUUACAAUUAUUUUUU
rnacentral:sRNA from 1 species